rnacentral:lncRNA from 1 species
GGAUUCAUAAUUUUUCCUCUUACAUCUGGAAAGGGAGGAACCCCACAAGACUGUGAUUUAGAUCAGUCCCUGGAGCAAGAAAGCUGAGCAGAAGCAACAAAUCAGCAUUCCUGAAACCUCUCCUGGUACCUGAGGUACCUUAGCUCUGGAGCAGAGGAACGUUCUGACAAGUACUGAACCCUGAGCAGAGCUCCCUGCAUCCAGGAGAAACCCAGGAAUUUCAAAAUAUAGCUAAGCUUCAUUUUGCUGGGCUGGCUCCCUGCAGAUGCCCACCCAUCACUGCUCGCCUGGUCUCUGCUGGAGGAGAGGUUCCAGUAGCCAAGGGCCAAGUGAUGCUGGUGGCUGGAGACCAUGGAAACUGACAAGAGGAAGACACACACCUUCAGCAGGGAAAUGCACAUUGAUGGGCCUUGACUUCACCCUGUGGGCCUGUUUCCAUUUAAGUAGUUCAAAAUUCUGCAGAUAA